UAUUGAAUUUUCUCUUAUCUGCAUCACUGAAAGUAUCCUCUCUAUAAAAUCUGAUAUUUUCCUCUUCUUUUUUCAGGCGCUAUAUAUAAUCUGGUGUCAGGUGGUUGAGUAUAAAUAGGAUUCUUGAAACAAUCAACUCUUUACACUUUUAUCCGGGGCCUUCGGCUCUUAUCUUUACAGCAAAAUCUGUUUUGUUUUCAACUUAUAAUUACGCCAUUUAACUUGUUAUCAGAUCUGAAGCUUAAGGAAGGCGGUUUCCUAGAAACUCAAAAGUCCCAGCCUUUCAGCAGCUCUCAAAUCUCAUCAAACCCCACCUCAUAUUCAGAUUCUGAGAGCUACCCGUUUCCCAUAAUUGUGUAGGAAAUUAUGGGUCGUCCUUGGUUUUUAAGAUUUUUCAUAGUUUCUUGCCUUCUGGCUCUCUGUUUCUCUCAUGGAUUUGGGAGAAACCUGAUGGGGACUAUUGAUCUUGAAGAUUUUUCAGUUCUAGUGUCAAAGGAGACGCAUGGAAAACCCAGGAAAAUGAUCACAGUGAUGGAUUAUGCAGAUCCAGAGCCAAAUGUUAACCCCAGAACAGGGUAUAUCUUUACCCCUCCUCCGCAGCCCAACUAAAAUGACCAAUUUGCUGCAAGGAAAUAAAGUCAUGUCGGUUUUCAUUUCACUUUCUUACUUUCACCUUUAUGGUGAAAUAUGAAGCAUUUUUAGUUCAGGUUCUUCGUCCAGUGUAUUUAUGUUGCAUUUCUCUCUCUCUCUCUCUCUCUCUCUCUCUCUCUCUCUCUCUCUCUAAUAUUGUAGUUCUGAAUGGUAAUUACUGAUUAUCAAAUUUUUUUUUUCAGCAUUA